AUCGCUUCUGGCCUUUUGGCUAAGAUCAAAUGUAGUAUCUGUUCUUACUGGUUUAAUAUUGUCCUGUUGGGUGAGGGGGAGUCUCCAUAUAAGGUGAUCGUGAUUUUUGCGUGCUCUGGGAUGAGGCCUGGUUCUAGAGGCAGUUUCCCUCUAACCAUUUGGAGAAGAGAAAUGGAGCCCUG
ensembl:snRNA U2 U2 spliceosomal RNA